rnacentral:rRNA from 1 species
GACAGAGGUUGCAAACGUUGUUCGGAAUUACUGGGCAUAAAGCGCACGUAGGCGGUCCGUUAAGUCAUGUGUGAAAUCCCCCGGCUCAACCGGGGAAUUGCGCCUGAUACUGGCGGGCUAGAGGUCGAUAGGGGUGAGCGGAACUCCAGGUGGAGCGGUGAAAUGCGUAGAUAUCUGGAGGAACACCGGUGGCGAAAGCGGCUCACUGGUCCGGUACUGACGCUGAGGUGCGAAAGCGUGGGGAGCAAACAGG